AGACCAUUGUCAGUCUCACGGAGUUGGCAUUCUAGUGAGCUGGGAUGGAAGCUUGACAAAUCAACGAGUCCUAUACAACGUAUAAGGUUUUGAAAAGUGCCACGAAGAAGAAUAAAGCAGGUUAAGGAGAAAGCCGGCCGUGAGGGUGGUCAGGAAAGGCCCCUCUGAGGAGGUGACACUUGCAGAGAGGCCUGAAUGAAGUGAGAGUGGGGGCUGAGGGGACGUGGGAGGUGGGCAGCAGGUCCAGGCAGAGGGAACAGCAAGUGCGAAGGCCUGGAGAGCAGAGCGUGGCUGGGGAGUCUGAGGAGGGGCAAGGAGGCCCAGGUGGCUGGAGUGAAGGGAGCUGGGAGAGAGGACGAGGAAGAGGAGAGAGAAGGUCGUGGGGGCCCUGCCUUCCCUUCCAAUCUUAGGGGUCAGGGCGGGAAGGAAGCUUCAUCUUAAUUCAUCUUAGUUCCGGAAACAGUGCCAGGACGAGGAACGGAAUCACUCACGGUUCCACAGCCAGGUCGUGUGGCAAGAUGGUGAUCCGAAAUGGGUCUCAACAUCUAGCCCGGUUCUCCGGCUACCACCCCACAGCCCAAGCGGGAUUAUAACAGCAAAAAGCAGGAGGAUGUGCCACCCGGGGCCUCCCAGCCACGGCUGCUAAUCCUCUGGGGAGGGGAGAGAAUUCUCCUGCCCGUCACUUGCCACCGUCCCAGGUGGACAGAGGACCAGGCCCACACACGCAGUGACACGCACACCUGUACAUGUGCAUUCGUGCUCACCCAGAAGGGUCCAUGCACAGAUACACAGGCACCCCCCACGCCUGCCUGGUUCCCUGGGGCCCGGAGUUAAUGAAGAUGCACGGAGAGCCCACGCAGCACAGCC
rnacentral:lncRNA from 1 species